AUGGCUUGUGAGUUGGCAAGCUCCUCUGACACCAGAUGUCCAGAGAAGCAGUCCUGGGGAAGCUUCAGAAGUGCUACACUUGAUCUGAGCCUUCAAGAGGCCAAGAAGAGUCCAGCCAAAUUCAGCCACCAAACCCAAACUCUGAAGUUCCUCCAUCACUCACAAUACACAACACCUCUGAACUUUGGGUACAUCUGGGGUCUGGGUCUAAACUUCAUAGCCACCUGGCACUGGUUACAGCUACAUAGGAUUAAGACAAGUCUAACAAGGCAGCAGUAA
rnacentral:lncRNA from 1 species